GAUGAAUGCUAGCUACAGGCUUAACACAUGCAAGUCGAGGGGUAACGAGAGGAAAGCUUGCUUUCCUUGUCGACGACUGGCGCACGGGUGAGUAACGCGUAUCCAACCUGCCCCCAACUAGGGAAUAACCUUGCGAAAGUAAGACUAAUACCCUAUAAUUUCCUCAGAUGUCAUCUGACGAGGAAUAAAGAUUUAUCGGUUGUGGAUGGGGAUGCGUCUGAUUAGCUUGUUGGCGGGGUAACGGCCCACCAAGGCAACGAUCAGUAGGGGUUCUGAGAGGAAGGUCCCCCACAUUGGAACUGAGACACGGUCCAAACUCCUACGGGAGGCAGCAGUGAGGAAUAUUGGUCAAUGGGCGGAAGCCUGAACCAGCCCAGUAGCGUGCAGGAUGACGGCCCUAUGGGUUGUAAACUGCUUUUAUACAGGAAUAAAGUUAGCCACGUGUGGUUAUUUGUAGGUACUGUAUGAAUAAGGACCGGCUAAUUCCGUGCCAGCCGCCGCAGUAA
rnacentral:rRNA from 1 species